UACGUAGGGUGCAAGCGUUGUCCGGAAUUAUUGGGCGUAAAGAGCUCGUAGGCGGUUUGUUGCGUCGGCUGUGAAAUCCCGAGGCUCAACCUCGGGUCUGCAGUCGAUACGAGCAAACUAGAGUGUUGCAGGGGAGACUGGAAUUCCUGGUGUAGCGGUGAAAUGCGCAGAUAUCAGGAGGAACACCAAUAGCGAAGGCAGCUCGCUGGGACGGUACUGACGCUAAGGUGCGAAAGCGUGGGGAGCGAACAGG
rnacentral:rRNA from 1 species